rnacentral:rRNA from 1 species
ACGGGAGGCAGCAGUGGGGAAUAUUGGGCAAUGGGCGCAAGCCUGACCCAGCGACGCCGCGUGAGGGAAGACGGUCUUCGGAUUGUAAACCUCUUUCAGCAUGGAAGAUAAUGACGGUACCUCAUGAAUAAGCCACGGCUAACUACGUGCCAGCAGCCGCGGUAAUACGUAGGUGGCAAGCGUUAUCCGGAUUUACUGGGUGUAAAGGGCGCGUAGGCGGGGAAGCAAGUCAGAUGUGAAAUCUAUGGGCUUAACUCAUAAACUGCAUUUGAAACUGUUUCUCUUGAGUGCUGGAGAGGUAGAUGGAAUUCCUAGUGUAGCGGUGAAAUGCGUAGAUAUUAGGAAGAACACCAGUGGCGAAGGCGAUCUACUGGACAGUAACUGACGCUGAGGCGCGAAAGCGUGGGGAGCAAACAGGAUUAGAUACCCUGGUA